rnacentral:rRNA from 1 species
GGACGGGUGAGUAACGCGUAAGAAUCUAACUUCAGGACGGGGACAACAGUUGGAAACGACUGCUAAUACCCGAUAUGCCGCGAGGUGAAACCUAAUUGGCCUGAAGAAGAGCUUGCGUCUGAUUAGCUAGUUGGUGGGGUAAGAGCCUACCAAGGCGACGAUCAGUAGCUGGUCUGAGAGGAUGAGCAGCCACACUGGGUCUGAGACACGGCCCAGACUCCUACGGGAGGCAGCAGUGGGGAAUUUUCCGCAAUGGGCGAAAGCCUGACGGAGCAACGCCGCGUGAGGGAGGAAGGUCUUUGGAUUGUAAACCUCUUUUCUCAAGGAAGAAGUUCUGACGGUACUUGAGGAAUCAGCCUCGGCUAACUCCGUGCCAGCAGCCGCGGUAAUACGGGGGAGGCAAGCCUUAUCCGGAAUUAUUGGGCGUAAAGCGUCCGCAGGUGGUCAGCCAAGUCUGCUGUCAAAUCAGGUUGCUUAACGACCUAAAGGCGGUGGAAACUGGCAGACUAGAGAGCAGUAGGGGUAGCAGGAAUUCCCAGUGUAGCGGUGAAAUGCGUAGAGAUUGGGAAGAACAUCGGUGGCGAAAGCGUGCUACUGGGCUGUAUCUGACACUCAGGGACGAAAGCUAGGGGAGCGAAAGGGAUUAGAUACCCCUGUAGUCCUAGC